rnacentral:misc_RNA from 1 species
UAGAAACCAUCACAAAAUAAUUAUUUGAACAGAUAAAAUGGCAAUAAUGUCUAUUACUGUCGACUGUAUGAAGUGUUGUCUACUUUAUCGCUGUGAGUGUGCAUUGAAUAUCUGUGGAGCAAGUUUGAAUGUAAUUAUAGCAUAUUCUAAGCUAUGUAGAUAAUUGCUUUAAAAUGUCAUGGUUCACUGAAAUUGCUGGUAAAGCUGAGGAUUUACUUAACAAGGUUGAUCAAACUGCUGCAACUGCUCUGCAGAACAAAUCAAAAUCAACAUACAAAUCUAGUGGUUAUGUGAGCAGCCAUGGCCAUCCUUUUGAUACAAAUUUUGAACAAACUUACUCUGGUGCUAAUGCAUAUAUUGGCACAGAACAAAGUCUACAGCAAACAUCUGUAAUUUCUAAUAAAUCGGGUGACAGAAAGCUGUCAUACAGUCCUACCUCAUCAAUGACAAAUAGAAAGAAAGCUGAAAGUGAUGAUGAAAAACUUCUGAGAUUUUUAAAUGAAACUGAACCUUUCUCAGCACAGAAAAAGAAAAUAAAGGAAAUACCAAAGGUAAAAAAGAAUGCUGAUAACACCUAUAUUACAACUGAUACAACAAAUGUUAAAGAAAAUACUGUGGAAGAAGAAGCAUGCCAGAAUGAACAGACAGUGCCACAAAUUGAAUCUGUAAAUAUAAAGGAAUCUAUAUCUGAACCUGUAAAAUGCACUGAAAAUACUGAAGAAAAAUAUACCUCAGAAUUAUCUUCACUUCCACUGAAGUCUAAAAUGAUGGAAUUGCCAGAGAGUAGUGCUAUGCCAGUUACUGAAGAACUGUUGCUUGUACAAAAAAGAGCUGAGCAUGCUGAAGCAGAAAUGAAGAGGAUGACCAAAAAAUUAGAUCAUUGGAACUCUCAGAUUUCUGGGAAUGACAAGUUAGUUCGAGAAUUGAGAGAAAAAGAACGGGACAUGAUUGCUGCUUUGGAUGCUAAAGACUCUCAGUUAGCAAUUUUAAAAGUACGAUUACAAGAGGCAGAUCAAGAACUGCAAGCAAAACGCAAUAUAAUUGAGAGUUUAAGAGCUGAAAAUGAGAGAAUCAUUAAAGAGCAUGCAGAUAAUGCUGCAUUUCAAAAUAAAACCAUUGAAAUCCUACAAGGCCAGUCACAGCAAGCUGAAUCUGAACUGAACAAAACCAGAGAAGCUUUUCUUCAGUCUCAGACUGAACAUAUGCAACAAAUGAGUAAAAUGGAGGAAGAACACAAGCAUUUAGUUGAAAGUUACUCUUCAUUACAGAAGAAAUGGAAUGAAGUAAAUGAGAAAAAUAAAGAACUGUUGUCUCAAUUAAAAGCAGCUAAUGGAAAUCUUGAAAUGAUCCAACAAGAAUAUAGUGACUAUAAGCAGAAAGCUCAAAGAAUUUUACAAUCUAAAGAAAAACUGAUUUCAAGUAUAAAAGAAGGGCAUCUUGAACUAAACAAUAUUGAGAAGAAUGAAGCAUCUUCUGCCUUAUUAAAUGCUGAAAUUGAAAGCAUAAAACAAGAAAGGGAUUUUUUUAGAGAAGAACUAAGACGAGCAAAUGAAUUACUUGAAACAUACCGAUCUGAGAUUCAAGAAAUGGAGAAAAUAUCACAAAAUGAUUUGGCCUCUGCUCAAGAGCAAUGUCGAAUAUUAAAGGAACAGCUUGAAAUGGAAAAAAUGCAAAAUGAAGAGAUGCAUUUAUUAAAUAACCAGCUCAAGGAAGAAAUGCAAUUUUUGAGAGAAGAUUUGACAAGAGCAAAAAGUAAUUUCCAUAGUAGGUUACAAGAUAGAGAAAUCGAAAUUGAGAAACUUAGAAGACAGCUUACUGCAAAAUCUCUCAGCUCUGUGAGCCAAGAUGAACUAGAGUCUCGUCUUCAUGCUCUAACUGAAAACCUCAUCCAAAAGCAAACCCUUGUUGAAGCACUAAGUACAGAAAAGAAUUCCUUAGUUCUUCAGCUUGAAAGAUUGGAGCAACAACUGCGAGAUGCUCAGAAUUUUGGGAUGCAACAACAUGCAUUUGUUGGUAUUAAUAAUAAUGAAACAGAACUUAAAACAAAAGCCAUGUUUCUGGAGAAUUCAUUUGACAGUCCAUUAACAAGAAAAGUUAAGAGAGUAUAUGGAAGCAUUGAUUCAUUCAGUAUUCGGCUUGGAGUAUUCUUUCGGAGGUAUCCUAUGACCAGAGUUUUUAUUAUAAUAUAUAUGAGAAAAACAGAGAAAGAGCAAUUGACUGAUAACUUCUUAAUAAAAGCUAAUUUGGCUUAUUGAAGAUCAGGAUUACACAAAACCAAGGCAAAGUUGUUAUGAGUGUAUUGUAACACUACAGUUAUCCAUUAUUUGUGAUAAAUUGAACUAGCAAUUUUGUUUAAAACAGUGGACAACAAAAUAUCUCCUUUUGCAUUUAUGGGUGAUGAUUGUCCUGCUCACUUAUGAGCCAGAAAUACACAAUUCAAACUCUGCUACUGUAAAGAAAUAAUAAUUUUCAUAAUAGCCUAUUUUUAUACACUUGUUAGAAUUUGUCUGUUUGAAAUUUCAUAUUAAAAUCUUUUCUGUUAUAGUUAGUAAUGUCUUUAUUAUAUUUAGAUAAUCACAUCAGUUUAUUCUAUAUCUGAUAAACCACUGCUUAUGAAUCGCGUUUAAUAGAUAUGAUAUUUACUAUUUGUGUUAUAAAUCCUGAGUUUACUACUUUAUGAAUGAAUGAUAAAUGAUUAAAUGCAGACAAUGAUUAUUUAAAACUAAAUAUUAUAUAACUGAGGUCUGUUGUUGAUAUUAUUACUCCUGUA